GCACGAUGUGAAGAGAGAACUGAUUUACCGACGGUAGAAACUUGGUCGGUCAAGAAGAAAAGAUUAUAUUAUGUAUACUCGGUAGUGCAGUUUUAUGUGCAUGCGUGCGCGCGCAUGUAGUUCUCCCCACCCCUAGACUCAGUUAUGUCAUCAGUGACGUAGGAUGGACCCAGCCUCCGAGUCCGGUAUUGAUUCGUGACGUCACUAACACACGGAUAUCCCACGUACAAGCAGCAACGUCUCGGGAUUAUGUUUCUUUCGAUCACGUGUAUACAACUGCUACGACAUAUCAUGCGGGUAUAUACGGACUCAAAGAAAAGGGAUAUUCCGAUUACGUCUAAGCUAGUAUGUCGCAAGUGAAACCUCAACUGGUCUAUCAUGUGAUUUAUUCGUCUAUCCGUUUGUCCAUAUUUAAUCAGAAC